UACGGGGGGGGGCAAGCGUUGUUCGGAAUUACUGGGCGUAAAGGGCUCGUAGGCGGCCAACUAAGUCAGACGUGAAAUCCCUCGGCUUAACCGGGGAACUGCAUCUGAUACUGGAUGGCUCGAGUUUGGGAGAGGGAUGCGGAAUUCCAGGUGUAGCGGUGAAAUGCGUAGAUAUCUGGAGGAACACCGGUGGCGAAGGCGGCCCCCUGGUUGGAUACUGACGCUGAUACGCGAAAGCGUGGGGAGCAAACAGG
rnacentral:rRNA from 1 species